CCUACGGGUGGCUGCAGUGGGGAAUAUUGGACAAUGGGGGCAACCCUGAUCCAGCCAUGCCGCGUGUGUGAAGAAGGCCCUCGGGUUGUAAAGCACUUUCAGUGAGGAAGAACGCCUGGUGGUUAAUACCCAUCAGGAAAGACAUCACUCACAGAAGAAGCACCGGCUAACUCCGUGCCAGCAGCCGCGGUAAUACGGAGGGUGCGAGCGUUAAUCGGAAUUACUGGGCGUAAAGCGCGCGUAGGUGGCUUGAUAAGCCGGUUGUGAAAGCCCCGGGCUCAACCUGGGAACGGCAUCCGGAACUGUCAAGCUAGAGUGCAGGAGAGGAAGGUAGAAUUCCCGGUGUAGCGGUGAAAUGCGUAGAGAUCGGGAGGAAUACCAGUGGCGAAGGCGGCCUUCUGGACUGACACUGACACUGAGGUGCGAAAGCGUGGGUAGCAAACAGGAGUAGAUACCCUAGUAGUC
rnacentral:rRNA from 1 species